GUCAAAAUGGUUGAUUGGUCUAAGGUGCUAAAUUCAAGUUUUGGUCCUUGUAAGAGGGUGUGGGUUCAAAUCCCACUUCUAAUA
rnacentral:tRNA from 1 species